AUGGGGGCAGUAAAUGGGAGAAAAUAAAUGGAUUCGGGGCGGAAAACGGAAUAAAUUUUACGAUCCGAGACGAAUUCGCGGCAGGAAAUGUGAGAAAUUUUGACCCGCCCCGAUUCCGCCUCGCUAUGAUCCGCCCCAAAUCCGCCUCGAAUCCACCUGAAAAUUAUUUAUAUUUUAAAAAAAUAUUCCUAAAAAAUAAUAUAUUUACAAAAAA
rnacentral:lncRNA from 1 species